GUCGGAAGUGGUGAAUCGAACAGUGGAAAUAUAUCUUCGCUGCUUUGCUUCUUCUAAACCAAAGUCAUGAGUCAGCUGGUUGCCGUGGGCUGAACUUUGGUAUAAUACUUCAUAUCAUACUUCAUCUAAAAUCUCUCCAUUUCGGAUUUUGUAUGGGAGGGAACCCCCAUUGUUAGUCAGGUUUGAGAGAGGUUCUACUCCAGUGUCGGUGGUGGAACAGCAAUUUGAUAGAAAGGGAUGAAGUGUUGGAAGAACUAAGGGGGCAGCUACUCCAUGCUCAAUCAUACAUGAAAAAGACAGCAGUUAGUAAGAGGAGGAAUGUCCAGUUCAACAAUGGGGACUUAUCUUAAGAUACGGCCUUAUCAUCGCAAAACCUUAUCAGCCCGCUCAAAUGAGAAGCUAGCCCCUAGAUUUUAUGGACCUUAUAGGGUUGAGAAGAGAGUGGGAAUGGUGGCAUAUCAACUUGAGUUACCGGCGAAUUGUCAUAUUCAUCCGGUAUUCCAUGUGUCUCAGCUGCGCAAGGUUGAAGGAAAACCCCAGGUGGUGACUGGUGAUAGAUAUUCCCAACCACUUGAAUGAGGAACUGGAAAUGAUAGUAGAGCCAGAGGCAGUUUUGGGGGUCAGACCUAGGAAAGGAAGCAACAUCAAGGGUAUUGAAGUUUUGAUCCAAUGGAGAGGGUUGCCACCCUUAGAGGCAACUUGGGAACCAUAUGAGUUGCUGAAACAACAAUUUCUGGAAUUCCACCUUGAGGACAAGGUGAGUUUCGUGGGAGGGAGUAAUGAUAGGCCACCUAUACAAAUUAAAUAACAAAGACGUAAAGGCAAGGCACGGCCAGAAAAGGAAGGACAGGAAAGAAUAUAACAACCAGCAUGUGUUUACAACAGAUUUGGUUAGUGGCUAUUAUAUAAGCAGAAGAAGAAGGGAAGAAACGACAUCUAGAAAAUCAGGAAAAUCUGGGGAGAGUCUGGACCUCUCGAAAGUCCAUCUAUCCAUUUUUUUAUUGUCAUUUCAUUUCAGUUACUUCUAAUUGUAUUGGAGAGGAAUCUGCUGUUGAUGUUAAUUCAGAAUUUAUUUCAAUACAGUAAAUCAUAUUGAGUUGGC
rnacentral:lncRNA from 1 species